UUCAUCUUACAUGGAUACCCAUUUAUUUCAAGUGCUAAAAGAUGCAACCAAAAUGCUUACAUAAAUAAACGUAGGUUGUUCUUGCGAGCUAUUUCUCGAGCCAUCUCCCUUGGUUCCUGAGGUCUUGGUCCCUCCGUGGGAUAGACAACGUAAGAAGGCACAGAUGUUUCAGAAACAAGCAUUCAAACUGAAUUUGUCCCCUUCAUUUAUAAGUCGGUAUCUCCAUGCCCUACUUGUUGAAAAAUCACAUCUAAAAGUAUCAUAAAAAUUUAAAUGAUUUAAGGUUCUUAGAGUUAAAAUUACAUAUGCAAAGAUGAAACCACAAGUUCAUGCAAUAAUCACAUCACUAGAUGAAGUAUUAAAGGUUCAAUACACAUUAAACUAUUUUAAACCUUAAGCAAUGCACUUCUAAGAGGUGGAUGCUAUGCUACCUCCAAUGACAUGUUGUGUUAGAUCAAGACACCCUAAUUAACUUAUGGAAACGUAUAAACCUAAGUAUUGAGACAUUGCAAACCUGCCGGUUAACUUAAGAGUUGAAUACAAAAUCCUUCUCAGAACGGAAAUUUAUAAUUCUGGAGGCGGUGCAAACAACUGGCUAAGCUAUAAGGUAUAUGAUAUGAUUCAUGUUCUAAUAAAGUGACCCGUCUUAACUUGCAAUGAACUUAAACAGGAUUCAUCAACUAUAAUAUGUCGAUAACCUCACUUACUAAGCAGUCGCAGAAAGUUGAAAUUUUACCUCCAAAAAUCAACUGCCAGAAACCAUUCCAUUGUCAAAUAAACAUGAUAGAUCAAUAUUCAAGUAUAAAGAGAUUCUUACCUAGCACUCAAAAUGACCCUUAUCAAGGCAAGGUAACGGAUUCAAUGACCCCUACGCAAUGCAUUCUUACAACUAGAAGCCAACCAUGGUUAUCGAAGGAAGUUCAUUUUUCAGUGCAGAAGGUGCAAUAGUUGAAUACAUAAACCAUUUCUUUGUUUUUUGGACUUGUAAUAUCUGAGCUCUA
rnacentral:lncRNA from 1 species